GACGAACGCUGGCGGCGUGCUUAACACAUGCAAGUCGAACGAAGUGGCGAACGGGUGAGUAACGCGUAAUCAACCUGCCCUUCAGAGGGGGACAACAGUUGGAAACGACUGCUAAUACCUCAUCCUGAAGCAGGGGAUUGCGUUUGAUUCGCUCGUUGGCGGGGUAACGGCCCACCAAGGCGAUGAUCAGUAGCCGGUCUGAGAGGAUGCACCGGCACAUUGGGACUGGGGAACGGCCCAGACGCCUACGGGAGGGAGGAGUGGGGAAUUUUCGGCAAUGGACGAAAGUCUGACGGAGCACCGCCGCGUGAGUGAUGACGGCCUUCGGGUUGUAAAGCUCUUUUAAUCGGGACGCGGUACCGGAAUAGAAAGCCACGGCUAACUACGUGCCAGCAGCCGCGGUAAUUC
rnacentral:rRNA from 1 species